ACGCACAGGUAUCUUGUGAAAUCCCACGGCUCAACCGUGGAAUCGCUUGGUAAACCGUGUGUCUUGAGCACGACAGGGGCCGUCGGAACGGUAGGUGGAGCGGUGAAAUGCGUAGAUAUCUACCGGAACGCCAAAGGGGAAGCCAGACGGCUGGGUCGUCGCUGACGCUCAGGCACGAAAGCAUGGGUAGCGAACGGGAUUAGAUACCCCGGUAGUCCAUGCCCUAAACGAUGUGUACUAGGUCGAGGAGGUUUUGACGCCAUCUCGGCCGCAGCGAAAGCAUUAAGUACACCGCCUGGGGAGUACGGUCGCAAGGCUAAAACUCAAAGGAAUUGACGGGGGCUCACACAAGCGGUGGAGCAUGUGGCUUAAUUCGAGGCAACGCGAAGAACCUUAUCCUGGGUUUGACAUGGACGGAUUAGGCCCCCGAAAGGGGGUUCGACGCUCUCACGAGUGGAACGUUCACAGGUGCUGCAUGGCUGUCGUCAGCUCGUGCUGUGAAGUGUCGGGUUAAGUCCCUUAACGAGCGAAACCCCUGCCGUUAGUUGCCAGCAUUCAGUUGGGGACUCUAACGGGACCGCCGGUGUCAAACCGGAGGAAGGUGGGGACGACGUCAAGUCAUCAUGGCCUUUAUGCCCAGGGCUGCACACGUGCUACAAUGGUAUGGACAGAGCGAAGCGAUACGGCGACGUGGAGCAAAUCGCACAAACCAUGCCCCAGUUCGGAUUGU
rnacentral:rRNA from 1 species